rnacentral:ncRNA from 1 species
UGAUAGAGGCGCAGAGGACAUUAUUAGGCCCUACACACGAGCGGCAGGCACCGCGGGGCGGAAAGGGUCCUUUGCCGAAGUACCGGCAUAAUGCCUGUGUGCCGGCGCUGGGCCAGUGGGAGAAUAUCCUCUGGACUGUCACGUAAAAGUGGAGCGCUGUCA